GGAUGCGAUCAUACCAGCACUAAAGCACCGGAUCCCAUCAGAACUUCGAAGUUAAGCGUGCUUGGGCGAGAGUAGUACUAGGAUGGGUGACCUCCUGGGAAGUCCUCGUGUUGCAUUCCC
rnacentral:rRNA from 1 species